UUAACAAUGGUCAUUUAACACAGUUACAAUGUAUUGCCGUACAGUAUGACAAAGACUUUGUGUUGUGACUGAUGAGAUGUCUCUUCACAAGCAUGAACAACCAUAGUUUUAGGCCAAUAAUUUUUUACUUUAUUAGUAACGUUCACUGUAACAUGGGCUCAGUAAGACAGUUCUUAAUUUUUAUGAUGAUUGAUUUAUGACAGUGAUUUCUUCUGUAUAGUGGGGAAAAAGUAUGAAGACAUAUCUGGGUCAUAUUUUUUCCAUAACUAACUAACUAAACAACAAGCAAACAAAUAACUACCAAGGAGUCUUCAAAGUUUUGAGAUUUGCAGUUUGACUUAAGUUCUGCUAACAUUAAUACAGAGGUGUAAAGAUCUGUUUCAAAAUUUCUAGGUUAAUGUCUAGAUCAUGUUUGUGUAUAAAUGAGUCUCCAUGGGAUGCCAGAAACGACUUCCCUAAACACUCUGGUUUUUAAGUUGUAGAUAUUAAACAUUCCAGCUGCAGAGGCGUUUCCUGUCAACAAGCGACUGCCAGUCCAUGCACUCAGACCAGGAUCCUCCUCCUUUUCUUCCUUCACAGUUGUUCUCCGUCUUUGUGUUCAUCUUUGUGCCAUCCCCCUCCUUCCAUGUCACUACUUCUGUCCCCCUUGCGCAACCACACAGCUACAAUUUCACUACAGGAGACAUAUCAAAUGUUUUGGUUUGCUUGGUAAUCUGUAGAUGUAGGUCAAUCGUGCUGAGUCUGGCUCCGCCUCCUCUCCAUAUGAUAUGACAUCACUCUGCGGUUACCACAGAAACCAGGGCUCCACUGCAGACGGUUGACAGCCAAGCAGGUGAGUUAUUAUUGUGGUGUUGGAAAACUGCAGACAAAGCACAAUUUAAUAACGGCACAGGGACGCAUGGCAAACGCAUGUGCAUUUACACAGGCAUGUGAAUGUGUUAUGAAUAGCUCUUGCGUUCUAGUUAAAAUGUGAGUAUGUGUGUGUUGUAAAAGUCUAAGUGUGAACACGUGUUUGUAUUAGUACGCAGAUUCCAAGAGUGACAUGUGUAUUGCAUUAGCAACUAUGGCUCUUUGGAUCCUCCUGUGAAUUCCUUUUGUUAGAUGUGUGUUUGCCUGUAGUAGCAGGAUUUUUUAUGCACACACCCGGUCUCAGUCUGGAAUCCUAAUUCAGCAAAUUGAUCCCUCCCUUUUAGGUAAUGUCCAAUCAUGCUGAUUUAAUACACCCAUACACACACGCACUCUCACGGCGUGAUUAAUGAUGUGUCAGUAAAGCAUUCGGUGUGCUCUUGUAAGCUCUGUUUCUGCCAAGGCAAAGUCCACAGCAGAGGAGAGGAAAAGGGUUAGAGAGCAUUUUUCUUCAGCUUCAUAGACACACCCCACCACAACAACAUUUCUGAGAACACUGUAUUUGUUUGCGGUGUAAAAUGAUACUGCAGAGAUUCUGCUCAGUUUGUUGGAUUUUAGACUGGUCAGUGGUUUCAACUGACUAAAGAAUUUUCCCGCCAAUUUAUAGGAGGGCACUGACAGCAUUGAGCUGCGAUAAGGCGACUGGAUAUAAUUUCCAAUAUGAGCCCAUGACAGUUGGCAGCAAAAUAGUGUUAAACUGAGCUUAGAUUUAUGCAAAUGAGCAGCAAAGAGAUUUGGCGACAACCAAAUUGAGUGCAGAAAGUGAUCUAUCGCCAGAUACAGUUGAAUAUCUGAAACUAUAAUAAUAACUGAAAU
ensembl:lncRNA